UCCCCUAGUAACGGCGAGUGAAGCGGGAAGAGCUCAAAUUUGUAAUCUGGCGGUCUCCGGCCGUCCGAGUUGUAAUCUGGAGAAGCGUCUUCCGCGCCGGACCGUGUACAAGUCCCCUGGAACGGGGCGUCAUAGAGGGUGAGAAUCCCGUCUUCGACACGGACUGCCGGCGCYAUGUGAUGCGCUCUCGAAGAGUCGAGUUGUUUGGGAAUGCAGCUCAAAUCGGGUGGUAAAUUCCAUCUAAAGCUAAAUAUUGGCGAAAGACCGAUAGCGAACAAGUACCGUGAGGGAAAGAUGAAAAGCACUUUGGAAAGAGAGUUAAACAGUACGUGAAAUUGUUGAAAGGGAAACGAUUGAGGUCAGUCGCGUCCCCCGGGACUCAGCCGCGCUUCUCUUGCGCGGCGUACUUCCCGAGGCGACGGGCCAGCAUCGAUUUCGAUCGCCGGAGAAAGGUGGGGGGAACGUGGCACCUUCGGGUGUGUUAUAGCCCCCCGUCGUAUGCGGCGGUCGGGAUCGAGGACCGCAGCGUGCCCUCACGGGCCGGGGUUCGCCCACGUAACGCGCUUAGGAUGCUGGCGUAAUGGCCUUAAACGACCCGUCUUGAAACACGGACCAAGGAGUCUAACAUGCCUGCGAGUGUUUGGGUGGAAAACCCGGACGCGCAACGAAAGUGAUAGGUCGGGACCUCUGUCGCGGAGGGCACCGACGCCCGGACCAGAGCUUCUGUGACGGAUCCGAGGUAGAGCAUGUAUGUUGGGACCCGAAAGAUGGUGAACUAUGCCUGAGUAGGGUGAAGCCAGAGGAAACUCUGGUGGAGGCUCGUAGCGAUUCUGACGUGCAAAUCGAUCGUCGAACUUGGGUAUAGGGGCGAAAGACU
rnacentral:rRNA from 1 species